rnacentral:lncRNA from 1 species
AAAUUAUGCUCUAGAAGUGUACAUGUGUCAGCCAAUCUGACUUCUAAAGCACACAUCUAACACUUGAAAGAUAGACCAAAUCAAAAUGAAGAAAAUGAAGCCAAAGAUGAUAGACAAAAAAAUCUAUUAAAGAAAUUAUUGAUAAAGAGCAUGAUGACUUGCCCAAGGAGUGAAAGUUCAUAUGCAAUCAUCUGAAAGAUUUCAUUAUAGGUGAAUCUUCACAAGGGAUA